rnacentral:rRNA from 1 species
GUGGGGAAUAUUGGACAAUGGGCGCAAGCCUGAUCCAGCCAUGCCGCGUGAGUGAUGAAGGCCUUAGGGUUGUAAAGCUCUUUCAGUGGGGACGAUAAUGACGGUACCCACAGAAGAAGCCCCGGCUAACUUCGUGCCAGCAGCCGCGGUAAUACGAAGGGGGCUAGCGUUGUUCGGAUUUACUGGGCGUAACGCGCACGUAGGCGGAUCGUUAAGUCGGGGGUGAAAUCCUGGAGCUCAACUACAGAACUGCCUUCGAUACUGGCGAUCUUGAGUCCGGAAGAGGUGAGUGGAACUCCUAGUGUAGAGGUGGAAUUCGUAGGUAUUAGGAAGAACACCAGUGGCGAAGGCGGCUCACUGGUCCGGUACUGACGCUGAGGUGCGAAAGCGUGGGGAGCAAACAGGAUUAGAAACCCCGGUAGUCC